rnacentral:rRNA from 1 species
GAUGAACGCUGGCGGCGUGCCUAAUACAUGCAAGUCGAGCGAACAGAUGAGGUGCUUUCUCCUCUUACGUUAGCGUCGGACAGGUGAGUAAAACGUGGAUAACCUACCUAUAUGACUGGGAUAAAUUCGGGAAACCUUAGCUAAUACCGGCUAAUAUGCUGAACCGCAUGGUUUAACACUGAAAGGCGUUCUUGCUGUCACUCAGAGGUGGACCCGCGCCGCAUUAGCUAGUUGGUAAGGUAACGGCUUACCAAGGCAACGAUGCGUAGCCGACCUGAGAGGGUGAUCGGCAACACUGGAACUGAGACACGGCCCAGACUCCUACGGGAGGCAGCAGUAGGGAAUCUUCCGCAAUGGGCGAAAGCCUGAUGGAGCAACGCCGCGUGAGUGAAGAAGGUCUUCGGAUCGUAAAACUCUGUUGUCAGGGAAGAACACAUAUGCAAGUAACUAUGCACGUCUUGACGGUACCUAAACAGAAAGCACCGGCUAACUACGUG